rnacentral:rRNA from 1 species
GUGGGGAAUCUUCCGCAAUGGACGAAAGUCUGACGGAGCGACGCCGCGUGAGUGAUGAAGGCCUUCGGGUCGUAAAGCUCUGUCAGAGGGGAAGAAGUGUGAGGUGGCUAAUAUCCAUUUCACUUGACGGUACCUUCAAAGGAAGCACCGGCUAACUCCGUGCCAGCAGCCGCGGUAAUACGGAGGGUGCGAGCGUUGUUCGGAAUUAGUGGGCGUAAAGCGCGUGUAGGCGGUUUUUUAAGUCUGAUGUGAAAGCCCUGGGCUCAACCCGGGAAGUGCAUUGGAAACUGGGAGACUUGAAUACGGGAGAGGGAAGUGGAAUUCCUGGUGUAGGAGUGAAAUCCGUAGAUAUCAGGAGGAACAUCGGUGGCGAAGGCGGCUGCCUGGACCGAUAUUGACGCUGAGACGCGAAAGCGUGGGGAGCAAACAGGAUUAGAAACCCGGGUAGUCC